UCCCUGGUGGUCCAGUGGCUAAGACUCUGCGCUUUCAAUGCAGGGGGCCUGGGUUCGAUUCCUGGUCAAGGAA